rnacentral:rRNA from 1 species
GACGAACGCUGGCGGCGUGCUUAACACAUGCAAGUCGAACGGUAAGGCCCUUCGGGGUACACGAGUGGCGAACGGGUGAGUAACACGUUGGUGAUCUGCCCUGCACUUCGGGAUAAGCCUGGGAAACUGGGUCUAAUACCGGAUAGGACCACUGCCUGCAUGGGUGGUGGUGGAAAGCUUUUGCGGUGUGGGAUGGGCCCGCGGCCUAUCAGCUUGUUGGUGGGGUGAUGGCCUACCAAGGCGACGACGGGUAGCCGGCCUGAGAGGGUGACCGGCCACACUGGGACUGAGAUACGGCCCAGACUCCUACGGGAGGGAGCAGUGGGGAAUAUUGCACAAUGGGCGCAAGCCUGAUGCAGCAACGCCGCGUGAGGGAUGACGGCCUUCGGGUUGUAAACCUCUUUCAGCACCGACGAAGCGCAAGUGACGGUAGGUGCAGAAGAAGGACCGGCCAACUACGUGCCAGCCGCCGCGGUAA